rnacentral:rRNA from 1 species
CCUACGGGAGGCAGCAGUGAGGAAUAUUGGACAAUGGGCGCAAGCCUGAUCCAGCCAUGCCGCGUGCAGGAUGACGGUCCUAUGGAUUGUAAACUGCUUUUAUACGAGAAGAAACACUACUUCGUGAAGUAGCUUGACGGUAUCGUAAGAAUAAGGAUCGGCUAACUCCGUGCCAGCAGCCGCGGUAAUACGGAGGAUCCAAGCGUUAUCCGGAAUCAUUGGGUUUAAAGGGUCCGUAGGCGGUUUAAUAAGUCAGUGGUGAAAGCCCAUCGCUCAACGGUGGAACGGCCAUUGAUACUGUUAGACUUGAAUUAUUAGGAAGUAACUAGAAUAUGUAGUGUAGCGGUGAAAUGCUUAGAGAUUACAUGGAAUACCAAUUGCGAAGGCAGGUUACUACUAAUAUAUUGACGCUGAUGGACGAAAGCGUGGGUAGCGAACAGGAUUAGAUACCCUGGUAGUCCACGCCGUAAACGAUGGAUACUAGCUGUUGGAAGCAAUUUCAGUGGCUAAGCGAAAGUGAUAAGUAUCCCACCGCGGAGUACGUCGCGAGAAGUAGAACGACGAAGUAGUAGUAGAGNGAGAGAGACGACGACGACGACGAGGAGGGAGGAGG